rnacentral:rRNA from 1 species
UAGGGAAUCUUCGGCAAUGGGGGGAACCCUGACUGAGCAACGCCGCGUGAGUGAAGAAGGUUUUCGGAUCGUAAAGCUCUGUUGUUAAGGAAGAACGAGUGUGAGAAUGGAAAGUUCAUACUGUGACGGUACUUAACCAGAAAGGGACGGCUAACUACGUGCCAGCAGCCGCGGUAAUACGUAGGUCCCGAGCGUUGUCCGGAUUUAUUGGGCGUAAAGCGAGCGCAGGCGGUUAGAUAAGUCUGAAGUUAAAGGCAGUGGCUCAACCAUUGUAGGCUUUGGAAACUGUUUAACUUGAGUGCAGAAGGGGAGAGUGGAAUUCCAUGUGUAGCGGUGAAAUGCGUAGAUAUAUGGAGGAACACCGGUGGCGAAAGCGGCUCUCUGGUCUGUAACUGACGCUGAGGCUCGAAAGCGUGGGGAGCGAACAGG